CCUACGGGUGGCAGCAGUGGGGGAUAUUGCACAAUGGGGGGAACCCUGAUGCAGCGACGCCGCGUGAGUGAAGAAGUAUCUCGGUGUGUAAAGCUCUAUCAGCAGGGAAGAAAAUGACGGUACCUGAUUAAGAAGCCCCGGCUAACUACGUGCCAGCAGCCGCGGUAAUACGUAGGGGGCAAGCGUUAUCCGGAUUUACUGGGUGUAAAGGGGGCGCCGACGGCGAUGCAAGUCUGGAGUGAAAGCCCGGGGCCCAACCCCGGAACUGCUCUGGAAACUGCGCGGCUAGAGUGCAGGAGGGGCAGGCGGAAUUCCUAGUGUAGCGGUGAAAUGCGUAGAUAUGAGGAGGAACACCAGUGGCGAAGGCGGCCUGCUGGACAGUAACUGACGUUGAGGCUCGAAAGCGUGGGGAGCAAACAGGAUUAGAUACCCGAGUAGUC
rnacentral:rRNA from 1 species